GUGAGGAAUAUUGGUCAAUGGGCGCAAGCCUGAACCAGCCAUCCCGCGUGAAGGACGACGGCCCUAUGGGUUGUAAACUUCUUUUGUACGGGAAGCACGUGCGCUAUGUAUAGCGUAUUGACGGUACCGUACGAAUAAGCAUCGGCUAACUCCGUGCCAGCAGCCGCGGUAAUACGGAGGAUGCGAGCGUUAUCCGGAUUCAUUGGGUUUAAAGGGUGCGUAGGCGGCCCGGUAAGUCAGCGGUGAAAGUUUGCGGCUCAACCGUAAAAUUGCCGUUGAUACUGUCGGGCUUGAGUUCAGAUGAAGUGGGCGGAAUGAGUAGUGUAGCGGUGAAAUGCUUAGAUAUUACUCAGAACACCGAUUGCGAAGGCAGCCCACUAAACUGCGACUGACGCUGAUGCACGAAAGCGUGGGGAUCGAACAGGAUUAGAUACCCCGGUAGUCC
rnacentral:rRNA from 1 species